UAAGGGCCGAAUGGGGAGAUAAGAAGCUCUUCUUCUUCUCCUCCCUCAUCUGGAGCACCAGCAAAUGGUGACGUUCCGCUCACCACAAGCUCUGUUAAACACAUGGGAAAGUGUCUGCUAAAUGAAACAGGUCGCACACAGACACACACACCAGUCCCUGAAAGACAGAUUCAUCAAAUACAGAUCUUUGAAAGAAGUGAAAUGAGGAAAAAUAAAAUCAGAGCCAGGUUCCUCUUCUCCUCAGCAUCCCACCAUGUCUCUUAAGAAGCCACCCUUGAAGCUCUGGGUUAGUUUUACCUUGAGCAAACCCAUGUUAUGUGAUGUGGCAAAGACACACCCUGAAAGAGACAGAGUGACAUCCAUGGGUGCAGCAAUGCAUCCGUUAUGGGACCUAAAAUAACAGAGCAGCAGGAAAUUGUGGCAGGGCUCUGGCAGGAAUCCUCCUGGCUUUACGGCGAACGUGAUUGCUGCUGCAACAUGUGCUGCCUUACAAAGGAGGCGUGAUGGCUUCAUCACACCAGUGAUCCUGAAGUAGAAGAGGACAUAAAGAGGCAGCUAUUGACUGGCUCGGGUCUUCCCUGCUCUGAGCCUUGGCGUAAGAAGCUGCUGCCGCUGUGAUUCCAGUGUCAGUAUCCAUAGCACGAGCUCUGGAGCAGAUCAGGUUCAAGUGUUUUUGCUGGGUUGUGCUGCAGUGGGGAUAAAUUAUGAUGUCAAAACAGAGGGAUGUUGUCACACAACCAUCUCCCCUUGUGGGGUCAAGGUUCUGCUUUAUGGCUUGGAAACCCAUUAGUCCAUUUGAAAGCAUAUGGCCAAGAAUGGACAAAAAAUAGUCUUGUGUGUUUGGGUCAGAGCUACAGACAAAAGGCUCUUUGUGCUAAGAGCUGACAAUGACAAAUAAAGAGGAACCUGUUGAUCUAGGAGAGAAAUGGAGGAUUAUGGAAAGAUCACAUGGUGAGAAAAAGACCUUGGCUGUUUGUCUGGACGUCAGUCUUGCCUGUCAUUAAAAUGCUUUUUGCAGCUAUGGUGUAUUUGCUAAUAGAACUACUGUCUCCUGCUCCCAUGUUUUUUUUCCUAGCCUACAAAAUGCUACCUGUGCCACCCUCACGAACCCACAUCAGAGAGGUGAUAUUCUCCUAACUGGAUUCUGGCCAUGUGUUAGGUGUUAGGUGGAAUAAUUAAUACCUGCAAAUCUCCCUGAUAGUACUGGGAGCACUAGGAACAGUAAAUGCUAAAAAAUAGUGUCUGUCCAACUGUGACACAUAAAUACAGGGCACAAAGAAAACCCAAUAACAAACUCCCUAUAAUUCAACAAAGUUAUUGGAAGUAACCCAAAAGCUAUGUCUAAUGUUAAUAAUAAGCAUAUUUCCCAAAGGUAACAUUUGAUUUCUAUCCAAACCCAAACAUAUUUGAAGCUCUGCCUGAACGUCAUUGUAUAGCAGAUUAACUGGGACAAUUUAAUCUGUGAAUAACUUUGUAAAGCCUUCAGCCAACUCUGAAGAAAUGGCACCAGUCUUGACAAGACUGGGCUACAAAACACUUCACAGAUAAUGUGGAGGGUUUGUUUUCUUUCAUAGUAAGUCUGGAGAAAAUAGAGAAGUGUUUUGGUUUUGUGGCAUGCACAUCUGGUGAGCGCAUAUUGCUGAUCAGUGUGCAGAGAACAUGCUGAACAGAAAUAUUGAUAUUGAACAUUGAUGGGCUGCCUAAAAUGACCUCCAGAGUCUAUGAAGUGCACCACAGACUCAAAGAAAAAAAAAUCUAUUAUAGCCCAUUAUGUUCUGGAAUGUAUCCGAGUCCAUCAGCAGAGAGUGCCAGCGACUCGCUGCAUUUGCUGUACUGGAGGAGACCUAUGAAAACAUGUUGUAUUCAAAAUAAAAGGGGU